CAGUCGCCACGGUAAAACAGAGGGUGCAAGCGUUAAUCGGAAUUACUGGGCGUAAAGCGCGCGUAGGUGGUUUGUUAAGUUGGAUGUGAAAGCCCCGGGCUCAACCUGGGAACUGCAUCCAAAACUGGCAAGCUAGAGUACGGUAGAGGGUGGUGGAAUUUCCUGUGUAGCGGUGAAAUGCGUAGAUAUAGGAAGGAACACCAGUGGCGAAGGCGACCACCUGGACUGAUACUGACACUGAGGUGCGAAAGCGUGGGGAGCAAACAGGAUUAGAUACCCCAGUAGUCCCUGUCUCUUAUAC
rnacentral:rRNA from 1 species